UAGACCUUCAAGGAUGUGACUGUCUUUCGAGACUACCUGAAGGGAUUGGAAAUUUGCGUCACUUACGCAAGAUUGAUUUAAGUUAUACCAAAGUAGAGGAGUUACCUGAUUCAAUUUGCUCUUUGGAUAACUUGCAGAUUCUAGAUCUUCAUAGAUGUGAGCGUCUUUCUAGACUGCCUGAAGGGAUUGUAAAUUUGCAACACCUCAACAAGAUCGAUUUACGUUGGAGCAAAGUAGAGGAGUUACCUGAUUCAAUUAGCUCUUUGGAUAACUUGCAAACUCUAUAUCUUCAUUGAUGUGAGUGUCUUUCUAGACUUCCAGAAGGGAUCGGAUAUUUGCAUCUGAAGGUAUGGUGAAGCUAAUAACUCAUCUGCAGCUUUAAUUUGUACGUAGUUGAAGUGUUUGAGCGAGUGUUGUGAGUAACUCCAAGGGGAUAGAUAGAUGGGGAAGUUGAAGUAAUUAGUAACUCCAAGGGGAUCUGAGGGGAGGAAGCAGAUGGAAUUGAUUGAAGAUUCCAGUCCAAUCUUCUCAGUAAAUGCAGCAGAUGACCGAGAUUUGGAGGAAGCAGUGUAAGGUAUUGGGAAUUUAAUUUGCUGGCCAAGCUUCUCAACUGGAGGGGUCUUACAAUUUAGGUGAACAUUUUCUCUAGUGAAGUAACUGCAGAAUUUCCUUCUGCAUUGGAAACACCCAGAGAGCGGGGAAAUAAUGUGCAAGAUCUUUACAGCCUUCUGUGUUUCUUGCAUGUUGAGCCAUGGUGCAAUUGGGCCUGGUAGAAUAAGUUAAUACAAAGACAUUAUGAGAAUAGUAAUCACAGAGCAUGGAAACUGAGCAAGGCAAUUUUUAAGUCAUUAAUUAAUGCUUAGGAGAACAAAGGAAUUCUGUCGGGCCGGGGCCCUUGGGGUUGGGGAUUCAACCUUUUGGGAAGAACAAAGGAAACAAAGGACAAGGAAGGGAGGUAGUUCAUUGCCUUUUUUCCCCUCAUUUUCUUGAAUGCCCAAAGUUUACUUGAGAGGCAAAGCUUUAUUUGGCAGCAUAUUGAUGUCUUGUUCCUUUGAAUUAGACCAAUAUCCAAGUCAUUGAGUGUGAACAGAA